UGCACUCUUUUUAUUUAUGGGUUUGUUUUUUUUUUUGCACUCUUAAGGGUUGGGGUGACGGCUCACUGGGAUGAAGCACUUGCUUCUGUUGCUGGGAUAUAACACUGUCCAAAGCCAACAAGGGGUGACAGUUGUCUAGCUUAUGGGUUGCUUUAUCCAUAACUGAGGGAAACCAGAGCAGGAGCUCAAGGCAGGAACCUGGAGACAGGAACUGAAGCAGACAUGAGCGCUGCUUCCUGCCUUGCCUUGUGGCAUUCAGCUACCUUUCUUACAGAACCCAGGCCCACCUUCUCAGAGGUGGCCCCUCCCACAUUGGCCUGGGCCCUCCUCCACCAACAGGCAGUCAACCAAACCCCCCACAGACAUGCCCACUAGCCCAUCUAAUGGGGGCAAUUCCUCAGUUGGGGUUCCCUCUUCUCAGAUAUUUCAACAUUGUGUGCAGUUGAUGAGAACUAACUAGCACAGCACUAAGAGUGAGGACCCAGUACCACAUUAAAAAGCCAGGCCCAACAGUGUGCCUCUAACCCGUGCUGGGCAGGGCAGAAACAGCGAGACUCCUCGAGCACACUGGCCAGCAAGUAGCCUAGCUGAACAAAUUCCGUACUGAAGUGUGAGACCAAGUCUCAAAACAAGGUGGAUAGCACCGGAGGACCACAGAGGUGGACCUCUGCCCUCCACGCGCAUGCACAGAAACAUAGGCAUACACAGGAAAUAAUGACAACAGCCACCACCAUCAAUCAAGAGAAUUAGUAGGGGAGGGCACUUUGUUACGUCACUUGAAGAAGCAACUUCAACAAAUGCCUGGGCUUCAUCUUCCGGAAGCAGAGAACAUAACCAUGGGAUUACUGACAGCUGAGAAAUGGACCCAAAAAUCUGUCCUAUUUUGUGUUUCCAGUCCUUACAGAGAGAAGCAUCCACUCCUUGCUAACUCAUAAGAAAACAUAAGCAUUCUAAACGGCAAAGCGCCUUGAGUUUGCACUGUGCUUGUAAGGCAGGAGAAACUCAAGGAUUCCGCCGUGCAUUCUCCAUUUUCGUUCCAGCUACGGAGCAUGAGUGAGCAGACAGCCUGAUAUCCCAUCUGUGUGAGGCGACCAUGACUUCAGAUGUUUUCAUAAUCUCCGAUUUCAUGAGGAGGCUUUGCUCCAACACUCCAGCUCCUCACGCAGCCCAGCUCCUGGGGCCCAUCAGACCCAAAGGCAGAAACACAAAAGCUUCAUUGCUCGCUGUCAAACAACGACGAGGCUGUAAGUUGUUCUCAUUGCCCCUCCUUCUCGUCACUGCCCAAAUAAAACUGUCCAGCCAGAAAUUAAGCAUCACCAAACUGACCAAAUGGGAACAGAGAACCUAAAGGUUUCUAAAAUCGUGAAGCUUUCUCUUUGAAGUAUUUGCCUGUAUAAGCUCUGAUCACACUUCGGCCAGUACAAAAGGAACUAAAACAGUGUCAGUGUGACACUGGAGGGCCAAAGAUAAAUUUAUUAACAGUAUCUAUCAGGUCCUUACAUUCCCGAACUAAUAUGCAUUUCUUACGUCCUAAGGCAGUAAACAAGUUCCGUGAUUAAUUUAAGUACUGGUUACUCAGUGAGAAUUACUGCUUUAGUCCAUGGUAUAACAUGUUUAUUUCCUUCUGAAAGUCCUCAGAGAGUCCAACGACGCCUUCAUAUACUCCCACAGACUUUGCUGAAGUCUACCAUACUUUGUUACAGCUGUUAAGACGCAGCCAAACUUCAAGUUUCCAAUUUAGCCCAGACAUUUUCUCCUGUGUGCCAGACACUGCUGGUUAUAAAAGCCAGUGGCCAUUCUUCCCCUAUCGUGUACAACUCUAACUCUGACUUUGUUCAUGACACUAGAUGAAGAAGGCCUUAAACAAACAAUCAAAAAACAAACAAACAAACAAACACGAACUCCUACAUUUUCUUACUUGCAGAUAGAGGUAGUUGACCAAUGAAACUGAAACACAAGGCUGGAAAAGUAGCAAGCAUAUUGUAACUAUUAAAUGAUCAUGUAAUAGACUCUAAGUGGCUAAGUAGCAAUAUACAAGCCUGUGCCCCUUCUGGGAAAGGCAGAUACAUUAUAGCCCUGGCCUGUCUGUCUUGAAGUUAUUGAUACUUAAAGGAGAGUGGAGGAAGGCGGGGAGGGGGGAGUCUAUUUAGUCUACACUUUGUCAGGAGCAGUUAAUCUCAAGGAACAUGAAACAAACUAAACUCAGUUUUAAUGAAAAUCACAGACUAACACAAACUAACUCAAUGUUACCCUAUCAUAGUGUAGCAUAAAGUUCACUUUAUGCCAGGAACACAGCAUGAAUACAAGGGAACCUGAAAUCAAGGUUUGCAGAAUCCUGAAGCCACUUGAAACCUGAGCCAGAACAUCACAGAACAUGCUGCACAGAGCAGAGAACUUCCUCACACAUUCACCCAAACAUUCGCCUUGCUGGAGUACCAGAACCUGUCUCCAGCAAGGAGACAUUUAUUGAUCCGCCGCAUGUCUCCCUAAGGUGGCAAGACUAACUGAAAACAAACUCCUGUAUUCUCCCUUCCUUCUGCUGCCAUGAGCGCCGUAAUCAUACAAAUACCUGGGGAAGGCAGAAAUCCCCACCUCUGAUUCAAAUACCAAAGGUUCUCUUAGCAAUACUGUAGGCUAAUAGCCAAAGUGUCUGCCAACCCUAAUAAUGUUCGCACUGCAGCCGUGUGGGAACUGAUAAGUUCCGGAUAUUGGAAGAAUCAGCAUGGUGUUAGACCAAGAAAUGUCAAUGUUUUCAAUUAGUUCUAAAAUAUACAGAGCAGGGGCUGGCAAGAUGGCUCAGCUGAUCACGUGUUGCUGCACAAGCCUGACAACUCAGGUUUGAUCCUCAGAACCCACAUUAUAAAGCCAGAUUGGGGGGGGGACUUUGGGGAUGGGAACCAGUAGAAUAAAAAUACGUUGUAUGAAAGUCUCACGAAGCAAAAAUAUAAAUGAAUAACAAGCCGGAUGCUAUACCACACACCUGCGAUCCUGUGCUCCACUGGCAAAGUGGUGAGCAGAGACGGGACAAUGCCCAGAAAUUCAGUUGAUGGAAGCUGCGUAGCACACAGGGAGAGCCUGCCUCACCAGGGUGAAGAACUGGUCCCUCCCAAAUCUGUUCUGACCCUCAGACCUCAGUUUGAUCACACACGCACAUGCACACACAUACGCAUACACAUGCACUCACACACUCACACAUGCACAUGAACACUCGCACGCAUGCACACACACAAGUAAAAAGUACAUGGAAUAAACCGUAAUUGUCCACAUUAAUUGUUUUCACAUUUAACAUCAUAUAAAAGCAUCUGUGUUGGAAAACCAUGGUUCAUGACAACUUACACAGCAGUUAAUGUGACAGCAAGCUAAGUGUUCGUUUAUAACAGUACACCAGCAAAUUUCACUACACUACCACUUGAGAUGAGGUCACUCCGUCUUUUAUACUAAGCUGCUAAAAAUAUUCUGUACCAUACAGGGACUAUACUGAAUAAUUUACUAUAGAUAGAAAGGUACUGACAUGGGCAAUUUCUAAUAUAAACAGUAUUAAAGAAUUGUGCUUAAAAAAAUACUUUUGUUUGUCCUGAUUUGUUACCAAUUGAAAUAACCCAAUUAUUUAACUUCAGGAAUAUUUUGAUCUGACAUAUUUUCACGAUGAAUCUAUUUGCAAAUAACCGGAUGAGAAUAUGAUCCAGAACACUACACCCUUCUUUGCAGCAAAUAAAUCCUUGUGUUAUUCUAGUUCAGUAAACAGUUGCCUAUUUUUACUCUGACUUAAAGGACCAAAGCCAUACACGAGAAUAGAACACACCAUGAAAAUCAGAGCUUGUUCACCACUAUCCUUUGUCUCUUGAGGGGCCUGGUAUGAAGUCCUCCCAAGGCUUUGUGAGGAUAUGCCCAACAAGGCUCUCAACUUCCGAGUCCAACAAGCCUAACAUUAUAGAUUACCGCUGUUCUCUAUGUUGUGACACUUACACUACUCAACACCCGGGCACAUACUUGGCAACCCAGUCACCCUGCAGGUGAGAGCGAAUGCACUCUGUAACCCAGGACUUUGAACAGAAAUAAAAAUCAAAAUAGCCUCUCUUUAAACUGGAACAUGAAAAUGUGUUGAACGGUGCAUCGUUUCAGGAAAGUGAACUUGGAAAGUUUUGUGAACUGGCACUCCCUAUUCAAAGCAGACAAUUCUUUUCUAAUUAGAUCAGCCCCUAUAGUGAGCCAUUGGGAUAAGUACUGGAGUGAAGUCAUCCUAUUGGUCACUGAUGGGAAAUCAAAACCGGCUUCCAAAUGCAUCAGGAAACAAUGGGUAUGCCGGGUCUCUGGCUUUUCACAGAAUACACUGGCCAAUAAGCUCCUUUUCCUCUCCAAGGCUAAGUGAAAUUCAGAACAUCUGUAUGGCCGAAUGCAAUUUGAUGACCUAAGCAUUUCAAGACCGCAAAGAACGGGGGAAAUGCCCCCUUGGUUUCCUUCUGUGAAAUCUUGGGCAAAAGUGUCUUGAGAAAUGUCUGUCUGACAGCAUCACUAGCAGUAACAUUAGUCCCAGUCAAGGGGUGAGAUGCAGAACGGCCAUGCAUAUUUAAUUUUCUGUUAUUUACUAGGACAAAUAAGACAAACUUCUAAACAAGGCCUGUUUCCUCAAGACUGGCUAUAAUCAGCAUUCUGGCUAUUUCUUUGAAUUACCCACUUAUCACUUAUAUUAAACUUGAUCUGACAAAAAAAAAAUUAAAAGCUCUAUUUUUUCCUAAGCAUAUGACAUAUACAUUGUAGCCCUUCCUGAUUUUUUCCCCCGAAAUCACAGAGCUUAUAGACCUACACUGCAGUGUUUCUUAUUUUUAACUCUCUAGAGACAACUGAGUGAGAAAAACAACAUCUUAAACGGAAAAACAGAAACAAUCCUCAGAACAUCACACAUACAAUCAAGUGCCCAGAUAGGAGUUAGCUUAAAAUAUCACUGCACUUGCUCAGGGCUGUAUUAUCCACAAUAGAGCUUUGGCACAAAGGAAUUCCACUUGUGUUUACAAAAUGAUACGCCAAGUCUAAGAAUCCAGUUGCAGAACACAUUCUAGUGAGGGGUAAAACAUGAGUGUAGGAAGACUUGAGUUUUAGGGAGCUUGAAGAUUCUGUGCUUCAGUUUUGGAUCCAUAUUAGUAACAGAAAACUAUUUAUAUUUUAUUUCACCCGCAGAGCUUGAGUUACUAAACCCAAAGUGAAUAUUCAACAGAUGCCCUCGGGUCCAUCAUAUGAAAUACCUGAUUCACUAUUAAUAUUUUACACACAUCUGUGAGCCAUCCUCACGAACACAUAAAUGUGAAGCAUCUCUCUACAUUUCAAGAGACGUGAAGGCUCAACACGGUUAAGACUCAAAGAAAGCCCAAGUUAAAGUAACCAUAAUACUUAGAUAUCCAAGACAAUCAAGUUGGCCGAAUUUCCUGGACAUAAACGAUCGGCAAAAAAAAAUGUAUCUUAAAAUAGACUUCUUUAACAUUUAAAUGUACAACCAACUCUCUUGAUUAAAGACUUCCUUUUAUCAUGAUUUGAAAUAAUUUUGGACUGCAUCAUUCUUAGUAUAUAAUCACAAGCGAGAAACUUUUCAAAUAAGUACGAUUUUUCGAGAGACAGAAAAAAAAAUCAGUGCUGUGCUCCAGAAUACAAGAACCUUUACAGGUUGGCCAAGCCUACGCAGCCAGGCUUGGAAAUCUCACGGAGAAGUAAUGGCAUCCAACCCUCCCAGGAAGAAUUAUGGCUAUGCUUGGUGCUUAAGAGCUUCUACAAAGGGAAAGACAAGGCAAAGUGCUUCUUGGAAACAGACCUCCCCCGCCCUUCAUUCCACCGCCUACCCUAGGGCGUCUCCGAACCCUCACCCACCCGGCCCUGCUCUGGGGUAAAGGAUUUCACCCAUGGCACCUGGCGGUCCCCAGAGCUGGUUCCGGCUGCUGUUUACUUGUGCCCCACGAGGGGGUGGCUCUGAUUUGGAAAAGGUAACGGUUCCCAUGGGCCCUGCCCCGCCGCACAGCCCAGCGCAGGGACCUCGUACCUUUGUACCUCUCCAGGACAUCCUCGUAGGCCUGGAGGUACUCCUGCUCCUCCACAUACAGAACAAGGGAAUUCAGUGGCUGUGGAUGGAAUCCUCCUCACUGUGGGCCACCAGCAAGUAACUGACUCUCCUCAUGGAGAAAGGUGAUGGGCAUCGAUCGAACCAAGGCCUUAGGUAACCAAGGCAAGUGCUCUACCAUUGAGCUAUCUGGAGAUAUAGAAACACAACGUCACCGUCACCAGCGAUGUACUACAACACAAACCUGAUUACAUUACUACACUGCUUUAAAACCUCUUGGAGAUGCUCCACUGUGUACAGGAGUAGCCCUGGGGACUCCACAGUAGAGGCCAGCACCAGGGUACUCUCUACCAUCCCCUAGCAAUACCUCGGCUUAACUACACACACUGUUUGCAGUUCAGUUAAGCAAGUCCCCUAUGCUUGUCCAUGAAGUUCCAUUCCUUUGAAGUGGCCUUCCCUGUCAACCUAAUUCUAUCAAGCUCUCUUAAUCUCGGCUCAAGUGGUACUUGCUCUCAAAGGCCUUUCAGGAGCCUCGCACAUCUCCCCUUCUCCCCCAGGUUAAUUAGACUCCUCUGGGUUCUUUGAAUAUUAGACACCUCCAGCCAUGACAGCUGAUCUCUCAGAGCACGUUGUAACUGUCCGGGAGCCAUUGUGUCGUACUAGCUAUGACUCUUUAAAGACAGAACUAUGUAUUUUACUGCAAGAACUCAAUAAGCAUGUGUUAACUACGGGUGAAUGAACUUAUCCAACGGUCCGUGUGGCUUUUGACUCAGGGGCGCGCGUGGUGGUGGGGGGCAUUUCAUAAACAACUCUGAUGACCUUUAAAAUAUAUAUUAAGCUCUUUUACGACUGAAAA
rnacentral:sRNA from 1 species